rnacentral:rRNA from 1 species
AUUGCAGGCUGCAACUCGCCUGCAUGAAGUCGGAAUGCUAGUAAUCGUAGGUCAGCAUACUACGGUGAAUACGUUCCCGGGCCUUGUACACACCGCCCGUCAAACCAUGAGAGUUGGCAACACCCGAAGUCGGUAGUCUAACCGCAAGGAGGACGCCGCCGAAGGUGGGGUUGAUGAUUAGGGUUAAGUCGUAACAAGGUACC